rnacentral:rRNA from 1 species
GCUAGCGACAGGCCUAACACAUGCAAGUCGAGGGGCAGCACAAGGAGCAAUCUGAGGUGGCGACCGGCGCACGGGUGAGUAACACGUAUGCAACCUGCCUGUAAGCGGGGAAUAACCCGUUGAAAGACGGACUAAUACCGCAUAAUACUAAAUUACUGCAUGGUAAUUUAUUUUAAACAUUUAUGGCUUACAGAUGGGCAUGCGCAUGAUUAGCUAGUUGGAGAGGUAACGGCUCCCCAAGGCAACGAUCAUUAGGGGUUCUGAGAGGAAGGUCCCCCACACUGGUACUGAGACACGGACCAGACUCCUACGGGAGGCAGCAGUGAGGAAUAUUGGUCAAUGGACGAGAGUCUGAACCAGCCAAGUCGCGUGCAGGAAGAAUGUCCCUAUGGAUUGUAAACUGCUUUUGCAGGGGAAUAAAGUGCAUCACGUGUGAUGUUUUGUAUGUACUCUGCGAAUAAGGAUCGGCCAACUCCGUGCCAGCCGCCGC